rnacentral:rRNA from 1 species
GAUGAACGCUGGCGGCGUGCCUAAUACAUGCAAGUCGAGCGAACAGACGAGGAGCUUGCUCCUCUGACGUUAGCGGCGGACGGGUGAGUAACACGUGGGUAACCUACCUAUAAGACUGGGAUAACUUCGGGAAACCGGAGCUAAUACCGGAUAAUAUUUUGAACCGCAUGGUUCAAUAGUGAAAGAUGGCUUUGCUAUCACUUAUAGAUGGACCCGCGCCGGAUUAGCUAGUUGGUAAGGUAACGGCUUACCAAGGCAACGAUUCGUAGCCGACCUGAGAGGGUGAUCGGCCCACCUGGAACCGGAGCCCGGUCCAGACCCCUACGGGGGGGCGGCGUCGGGAAUCUUUCCCCAUGGGGCAAAACCCUACGGGAGCACCCCCGGUGGGGUAUUAAGGUUUUCGGAUCGUAAAACCCCUUUAUUUGGGAAGAACCAAUCGGUAAGUUACUGUUCCCCUCCUGACGGUACCUAAUCCGAAAGGCCCGGCUAACUACGUG